CCUUCCUCUCUCUAACUCUCCCCCCUCCCUCUAACUCUCCCCCACUCCCUCUCUCUAACUCUCCUCCCUCUCUCUAACUCCCUCUCCGACAUGUAAUAUCCAUGUUAGGAACUAAAGGAAUGAGUCUCCUGUUAUUAGUUCAUAAACGAAUCAUCUUCUGUUAUUAGUUAAUUCUUUCGUUUUUUUGCAUACAGCAUGGGUUGGGUUUUGACUUCAGUUUUCACAGGAAAUAAACUUCCUAUAUGUAACCGGGCAAGAGGGAAGGCAUUUGACGAUGCAGACGUACGUGGAGGUGAAGGGCCUGGAUGCACCAGAGUGGUUCACUGCUAAUAGCACAAUUAAUGAUGAAUGUUUCUCCAACACAUUCCUGUCUUUCACAUGUCACCUUCCCGAGUCAGUGUGCUAUUUUACCAGGUGAGUUGACUGAGAACACGUUCUCAUUUACAGCAACAACCUGGGGAAUAUAGUUACAGGGGGGACCCUAUGGAUGUCCCCUCCACAAAGGGAACAGGGUAAUACCACAGGACACACAGUCUACCUGUACUACCAGGUUGUGUUCAGCAGGCACAAAAUGAUAGAGGACAUUUUGGAACUGAGGGGGUAUUUUGGGAAAUUCUCCACAAAAAAAUGCACGUUGUUUUAAUACCUACUGAACAUCAACCUGGUGCUUGUGGCGGGCGCUCAUCCGAACUAAGGCAACCGAACGCCAGCCACUUAACUUGUUGUUGCACUACUCACUUUAAAACUCCCUCUUAGAAUCCAGGACCCACUUAGAAACUGCCAUGCUAAAUGAAAAAACAAACUUGUUGAUUUGAUAAGAAAUGUCGAGACAGAAAACUACCCAGUUACUGUCACCUUUUUAAUGUGCUGCCUGUGUAUUUUAUGUAUUGUCUUUUUAAAAACGACCUGUCCUGUAAUAGAUAUACGUGUACUAGAGCUAUGUACUGAAGCACACAGUUUGGAUCAUAUUGAAUCGCCCGGUGUAACAAAGCUACGUAUGA
rnacentral:lncRNA from 13 species